rnacentral:rRNA from 1 species
GGGGAAUAUUGCACAAUGGGCGAAAGCCUGAUGCAGCAACGCCGCGUGAGUGAUGAAGGCCUUCGGGUUGUAAAGCUCUGUCUUCUGGGACGAUAAUGACGGUACCAGAGGAGGAAGCCACGGCUAACUACGUGCCAGCAGCCGCGGUAAUACGUAGGUGGCAAGCGUUGUCCGGAUUUACUGGGCGUAAAGGAUGCGUAGGCGGAUAUUUAAGUGAGAUGUGAAAUUCCCGGGCUUAACUUGGGAGCUGCAUUUCAAACUGGGUAUCUAGAGUGUGGGAGAGGAAAGUGGAAUUCCUAGUGUAGCGGUGAAAUGCGUAGAGAUUAGGAAGAACCCCAGUGGCGAAGGCGACUUUCUGGACCAUAACUGACGCUGAGGCAUGAAAGCGUGGGGAGCAAAC